rnacentral:lncRNA from 1 species
GUAAUUGAAUAGUUAAAAUUUAGUGACUAAUGUCUUGAGACAGAGUUAGUCUAAACUUCUGUUCAUGUUCAAGAACGGUUCUUCAUAUUUGAAUUCCUUAUUGCCUUUUAUUUGUUAUUUAUUGAUUCUCUGAAAAUACCCUGCAGCCCAAUGUCUUUAAUUCAUAAGUUUAAUCUCUUUAUUUGCAUUUUUAUUUACAAAAACUGAAAACCAAACAACAAGUCUUUUCCACUUUAGCUGAUAACGAGUCUAGAAAGUCUUUAGUGUACCAUUGCUCCUUGUGAU